AGUGGACGCUGGCGGUAGGCCUAACACAUGCAAGUCGAACGGCAGCACAGUAAGAGCUUGCUCUUACGGGUGGCGAGUGGCGGACGGGUGAGGAAUACAUCGGAAUCUACUUUUUCGUGGGGGAUAACGUAGGGAAACUUACGCUAAUACCGCAUACGACCUACGGGUGAAAGCAGGGGAUCUUCGGACCUUGCGCGAUUGAAUGAGCCGAUGUCGGAUUAGCUAGUUUGCGGGGUAAAGGCCCACCAAGGCGACGAUCCGUAGCUGGUCUGAGAGGAUGAUCAGCCACACUGGAACUGAGACACGGUCCAGACUCCUACGGGAGGCAGCAGUGGGGAAUAUUGGACAAUGGGCGCAAGCCUGAUCCAGCCAUACCGCGUGGGUGAAGAAGGCCUUCGGGUUGUAAAGCCCUUUUGUUGGGAAAGAAAAGCAGCAGGUUAAUACCCCGCUGUUCUGACGGUACCCAAAGAAUAAGCACCGGCUAACUUCGUG
rnacentral:rRNA from 1 species